GACAGCAGUCGCCGCGGUAAUGCGAACCGUGCGAACGUUAUUCGGAAUUACUGGGCUUAAAGCGCGUGUAGGCGGGCCGCCACGUCGGUUGCUGAAAUCCCCCGGCUCAACCGGGGAAGUGGCAUCGAUACGAGCGGCCUUGAGGGGGGUAGGGGGAUCUGGAACUUCCGGUGGAGCGGUGAAAUGCGUUGAGAUCGGAAGGAACGCCCGUGGCGAAAGCGAGGUCCUGGACCCUUUCCGACGCUGAGACGCGAAAGCCAGGGGAGCGAACGGGAUUAGAUACCCGUGUAGUCCCUGUCUCUUAUA
rnacentral:rRNA from 1 species